rnacentral:rRNA from 1 species
AUUGAACGCUGGCGGCAUGCUUUACACAUGCAAGUCGAACGGCAGCACGGGGGCAACCCUGGUGGCGAGUGGCGAACGGGUGAGUAAUAUAUCGGAACGUACCCGGAAAUGGGGGAUAACGUAGCGAAAGUUACGCUAAUACCGCAUAUGCCCUAAGGGGGAAAGCGGGGGAUUCGCAAGAACCUCGCGUUUUCGGAGCGGCCGAUAUCGGAUUAGCUAGUAGGUGAGGUAAAGGCUCACCUAGGCGACGAUCCGUAGCUGGUCUGAGAGGACGACCAGCCACACUGGAACUGAGACACGGUCCAGACUCCUAUGGGAGGCAGCAGUGGGGAAUUUUGGACAAUGGGCGCAAGCCUGAUCCAGCCAUGCCGCGUGAGUGAAGAAGGCC